AACAAUAAUUAUUAGUUAGGUUUAACUUACACAUGAUGUUUAUUGUUUACCUUUAUUCAUUGUAACUCUUUUCUUCAACUUUUCUAAAUUAUUGUUGUCUUUUUAGUUUGUUAAAUAGUUACACAUCCAUGUUAACGUACAUGUAUAACGUUAGGCUAUUAGCCUAUUUUUAGAGUCAUUUGCACAUAACGUAACGUUACAUAAAACUGGUUUUGAUAAUUUUCUCUCCUCAGAAAAUCCAGUAUGACUUCUCUAAAAAUCUCAAAGGAUUCACAGAGCAGCACUAUUUAAUAAAGAAAUGUGGCUCUGUAGUGGACACCUGUGAGGCAGUGGACAGACAGCUGCUGAAGUCUGAUGCUGGCUGACAAUAAACAGACCUCUCUGGACGUACCCCAUCUUUUGCAGAGUAAUUCUAACAUUGCCCUUCCUGUAACAUGAUGAUCCUGCUGUCCUGGACUGUAUAUGAUGAGCCUACACAUAAUCUCAGAAAAGCUGUGGUAAUAACAAGAGCCCCAUUUGAUGAGAGUAGCACUGCAGUCUUUCCUGAUGGUGAGGAGCUUCUUGCUGAUGAACCUGCCGACAUGAGUUCACCUUACUAUGAGUGCCUAUGUUCUGUUCAAGAUUAUACAGAAAAGCAAUUAAAAGUACACUAAAGCGCACUAUUUUUCAGCUGUAUCUGUUGGCCAUUCUCCAUGGACCAUUUGCAUAAGACUGAUGAUGUGUUUCAGCGGCCAUCAGCGUCGUAAAU